rnacentral:rRNA from 1 species
GUAGGUGGCAAGCGUUGUCCGGAAUUAUUGGGCGUAAAGCGCGCGCAGGCGGUCCUUUAAGUCUGAUGUGAAAGCCCACGGCUCAACCGUGGAGGGUCAUUGGAAACUGGGGGACUUGAGUACAGAAGAGGAAAGCGGAAUUCCAAGUGUAGCGGUGAAAUGCGUAGAGAUUUGGAGGAACACCAGUGGCGAAGGCGGCUUUCUGGUCUGUAACUGACGCUGAGGCGCGAAAGCGUGGGGAGCAAACAGGGAUUAGAUACCCCGGGUAGUCCACGCCGUAAACGAUGAGUGCUAAGUGUUAGGGGGUUUCCCGCCCCCCUUAGUGCUGCAGCUAACGCAUUAAGCACUCCGCCUGGGGAGUACGGCCGCAAGGCUG